GGCGGCGGGGGAGGAAAGGGGCCUCGCUGAGGGUGAAAGCACCGGGGGGGCCGAGGGCACGGCGGCGCCGAUAAGGCCGUCCCGCCCGCCGUGAGGCAGCGUCAGCCGCUCUGCGCCCGGGGCCUGCCCUCGGGCCCUGCCCUGCCCUCGGUCCCUUCCCGCCCUCCGCCCCGAGGAACGAUGCAGAGACCCCGGCGCCGUGCAGCACUGAGGGGCGCGGCGGCGGCGGGGACAUGAGCUCGGGGGGCGGCCGGGCGCUGGGGCCGCUCCUGCUGCUGCUGCUGCUGGCGCUGCCGCGGUGCGGGGCGCGGGGAAUUGUGAACAGAUCCAUUCCUGAUGUCUGUGCCACUUGCCACAUUCAUGCAACAUGUCAGCAGAGUGGAGGAAAAAGUGUUUGUAUCUGCAAUUAUGGAUUUGUAGGCAAUGGAAGAACCCAUUGUCAAGAUAAAGAUGAAUGCCAGAUUGGAGCCAGCAAGAUCUGUGGAAAUCAUACCCUGUGUCAUAAUACACAUGGAAGUUUUUACUGUGUUUGCCUUGAUGGAUACCGAGCCUCCAACAAUAACAAGACAUUUAUUCCCAAUGAUGGCACAAACUGUACAGAUAUUGAUGAAUGUGAGGAGUCUGAGCUGUGUGGUCACAAUGCAAGGUGUGUGAAUACUGAAGGAAGCUACAUGUGUUACUGCAAUGAUGGUUAUAAAUUAGAAACUGGAGAGCAUUCUUUUCAUCAAGAUGGAAACAUAGUUUCAUGCAAAGAAAUUGGAUGUGGUUCCCCUCCUGAAAUGCAGCAUGGCUACAUUGUGGGGAACUACAGCUUGCUACCAGGAAGUGCAGUUCAUUAUGAGUGUCAAGAAGGGUUUUACAGCAAUGAAGGAAAGUCCUCAUACUGCACUGCAAACGAAACUUGGGAACCUGCCACUUUAAGCUGUAAAGGUGUGGACUGUGGGACCCCACCUUUUGUUUUGAAUGCACAUCCAACAUCUGUGAGUGGGACCACAUACAGAAGUGAAGUUACUUACGACUGUGUUCAUGGGUACCUGAUGGCAGGUGGCAGUGGCACUGCAGUCUGCAAUGCCAAGGGACAGUGGGAUGGCCCUGAUUUGGUGUGCAAAGAAAUAGACUGUGGCAAACCUUUGCCGAUUCCACACACAACAAUGACCUGGGACAACUCUACUACUCUGAGGAGCAGAGUGUACUACCACUGUAAAGAGGGAUAUUACUUCUAUGGAGACAGGAAUUUUUCAGAAUGCACAAUAGAUCAGUCUUGGGAGAAUAUUACAUUCGUGUGCAAAGAGGAGGAAUUAUUUAGUAAUUUAUCCAUUUUCAAUGAAACUUGUGUGAGCUGGCAAAGGAAAAGUGGAAGGCUGGGAGUGCAGGAAACAUACACAUUUCAUAUACUGGGCCAAAGAUUGGAUGAGAAGAUAUUCUCAGAAGAUGUGGUAUUUAACAUCAGUACAAGUGAAGAUAAUCCAAAGGUGUGUUUAGACCUGGACUCUGGAAGUAACUAUGUGGUGAAUGUAACUACCAUUUCUUCUACAAACAUCACUGUCUCAGUUACAGUAGCAAUUCAGACAAAAGUUAAGGAAGCUUUCAAUAAUGUAUUAAUUUUUAAUGAUACCUGCUUGAAAUGGAGGAGAAAUGUCAGGGGAACUCAUGUGGAAGACAAAUACUCAUUUCAUGUGCAAGGCCAGCGUUGGUAUCAGAAGAACUUCUUUCAUGAAAUGACCUUCGAAAUUUCCACACACAAGCAAGCUCCUGAAGUUUGUUUAGAUUUGCAACCAGGCACCAAUUACUCUAUUAAUAUUUCCAUGGUAGCUAUGAAUUUUUCACUGCUUGUUUCUAUGACAACACAAAUUACAGAUCCCCCUUUCCCAGAAGUAGAAUUUGUUGCGGUUAAAGGUUCUGCACCUUUGCUCAGACUCCGGAAAGCAGAAGACCAAAAUGGACCGAUCAGUCUGUAUCAAGUGAUUGUGCUUCCUCUGGAUUUGCAAAGCACUUUUAUUUGUGACUCCUUUGAUGCUACAUCUUUCUUUAGUAACACCACUGACAUGAAAGGAUAUGUCGCAGCUGAAUUUCGGGCAAAGGAUGUUGCUGAUAAUAUGUCAAUUGCUCUUGGAGACAGACAUUAUUAUGGAAAGUUUUAUAAUGCUCCUUUAAAGCUGGGAGAAGAGUAUUGUGUUUUUUUGAAAAUAAUAAGUGAGUGGAAUAAGGUAAGAACACAGUCCUGUGCUGUUUGGGCACAAAUUAAAAAUUUAUCACCCACUCUGCAGUACAUGACUGCUGUUGGAUUAGGGACAGUGGCUGCUGUCUGCCUUAUAUUGUUCCUGUCAUUCUCCAUGGCACGUUCUUGUCUCCACAGCUCAGUGCAUCCCCCACCUGCUGCUGUAGCCUGUGAGGCUGUACAUUUAUCUACUACAGUAGACGUGGCACAAGCAGGGGUUGCGUCAUCAUUCCUAGAGACUGAAAGUGUCUCUCUUCUCUGAUGGUUUAUUCCCUGAAGUCAGCAUAGAAAAAAACUUGCUCUUCUUUCAAAGCCAGCAUGUGUCUGGUAUCUGCAUGUCACAUAUGUACUAUACACGGUCAGUUUAAAUGUGUUUGUCACUGAAGUGGGAUGUUUAUUGUCUUGCCUUAUUCCAGAUGGUGUGGUGUGUAAAGGAGAAUCUUCCCUCAAAGCAGGUUAUCAUGCAUCCCAUGUGUUGGUCACAGUCUUUCAGCUAUUCCAGCUGCAUGAGUGCCUGAUAAUGAGUGCUUGUAUUGUACUUGAUUACAUGAGUAAUCCCCUGAUCCAGCGGAGACUGUUUGAGGAUUAACUGCUACUUUAGAUACCUUUGCACACAUAAACUGGCCUAUUAUGAACAAAAGUACAGACCUACCCUUAUGCGAGAUAAAGUGCCUAUUGUACUUCCAGUUAUAAAGGUAGAACACUUCUUACAAGUAAUGAUACAUCAGUGACAUGUACACUUGUUAGCCAUGAAGUUGCCACAUUCAAGUAGUGUCAGCAACUGAUGGGUUCCAGAGAUAUUGCAAUCAUUGCUCAUAGCAAUUAGCAGUAAUUGCGAACUAUGUACCAAUCUAUAAAACUGCAGUUUGCUCAAAAGCUGCUUGCUUUAAUGGCAUGUGAAACUAAUUUAAGGAAGGACCUUCCUGUGUUAAGUGUAGUUUUGUUAAUCCCUGUUCUAUAAUUACAGAUGAGUAAAGCCAUUAAAUCAUUGUCUAGUUAAUUGGCUGGUGUGUAACAUCUAGUUAGAGUCACUUAAUAAAGUACAAUUAACCAAUUUUCUAUUGCAUACUCCCAGAUAAUACAUUUUUUUUCUUCCGUAAGAAAGAAUUAAGUGGCUUUGAUUAUUUCCAUUCCUCUUCACAAGUUGCUUUGUUAUAUGUUAGCAAAAAAGAUGUUUACUGGUAAAAUAAAAAAAAGCAGGAGUUUUGGUUUUGUGAUUUUUUUUUUCCUAAGUUAUGUUUUAUGUUUUACCAUUUUAAAUAUAUGCUGCACAUUUUUUGAAUUGUUAAGUUUCUGAAUUGCUAAGAUUCUGAUGCCUACUGCUCUUAUAAUUUUAGAUGUUCUGUCUCGCUAUAACAUGUAAUUAGGGUCUUUUUUGGCUUAAAGAACAACGGCAGAUUUCAUAGCUAGAAGCAAAGAAGAGUUACAGCCAAAAAGAGUUUUCAAUGGCUGCAUCCAGCUGAGAGUGCUUUUUCCAGGUCUGGGCAGAUACUGUUUCUGUUAUCCAGCAUUUUCAGAGCUGUCCUUCAAGUUAAUAAUUAAUAGCUAAGUAACACCUUUGUCUGCAUUAGGGAUUAAAAUUGAUAGCAUUUUCUGUUGCUAGUUAAGAAAGAAUAGCUAAACUGUUCAUACUGGGAAACCAUGCCUUAAUAUUUCAGUUUCUCAUGUGGAAUUCAUUCUCACACAUUCCAUGCCUAAUUCCCUUUCUCAAUGGAAUAGAUUGCAAGGUUUGGUAUUGAGUACAAACUGCACCACUUCAUUCUGAUACAGUGUCCUGCUGCUCUGGUCCUUAGAGAGAGUUCAUGAGCAGCUGUUCCUGUGUAAGGGAGAGCUGGAGAGGCUGGAAAUUAUUUAGAGAGACAGAUGUGCCAUCCUCUGUGAAAAAACUGAACUUCUUUUUACACUUUACUGACACCAUCAAUGUUCCAGUAUGCUGCAGUUGAUUAGGACUAUAAAGUCCAUCUUGUCAGUGGAUAUAAUUGGAAAACUUGAGGUCUUUGUGUAAUCUUCAGCAGGUUAUUUUUCUGUGUGCCUCUUAUUUGCUUAAGUUGCUUUUUCAUAAAUUUUUCAGAGCAAGGUUUUUUCCUUACAAAAUAUCCAUACCAGCUUCUGCUGGUAGUUAGAUAACAUACUUAAUGACUGAUUUGGACAUCUCCACACAGUGUAGCUUCUUGAUACCCAGCAAUGGACUGAUAAGGGAGAAGAGAUGAGGCAAGACUCUCUGUCAUCUUUAAUUUUCCAAAACAGCUACAGUUCUGCAAGUUUCCCUCAUUCUUUCUGCCUCCCUUGUCACUCUUGGCAGACCUACCACUGGCCAUGAGCAUAUCUUCAUCUGUGUUUAUCUUAUUACUUAUUAUUUUCAUGUUUACUUAUCUUUCUUCCACCUAUAUCUGUUUCAGUUAAAUAUAGAAAGAAAAGAGAACUAAUUUAACCUUGCCAUCCUCAGAUAGACGUGUAAAUGUUAAGGGUUUUUUGUUAGACCCUUGCUCUACUGCUCCCAAGCUUUUCUGCUGAACUGAUUGCAAUGUCAUAACCACACUCUCAUGUUUCCAGAAAUUCUAGAGACAUUUCUAGUGAUUCUAGAGACAUUUCUAGUACCUUCAGAAAUUUUAACACUGAAAUUUGUCCUUUUUUCUGAUUUUUUUCUCUGCUUCCUUGGAUAGGUUUUCCACACCCAGUCCAAGUAAGGUUAGUUGAGCUGAACCUAGUCUGCUUUUGCUGCUGAUCUGUACCACUUCAUGGUGCUAUUUUGAAAUGUGCUCUAUUGAGAAACUUGUUGAUUUAGAUCCAUACCAAUGUCUGCACUAUAUGGAGAGUAUUUUAAUCCUCUUUAUAUGAAAUGGGAAGUUGUUAGUCCUGGAGAAACAAGUCUUGUAAGCUUAAGUGAAACUAUUUCUUCUAUUUUAUUUUAUAAUUGUGAAAUAACGCAUGAUACUGUAAAAGCCCAGGACUUAUGCAAGUAAUUGUGAUGGUAUAUCAAAUGAAAAAGGUUUUAUUGUAAAAUACAGUUUCUACUACAUGUCACUAAUGGUCCUUUGAACCUUUUGGUGAAGUUUCUUUGUUUUAGGCAUGAUAAACACAGAAGUCAGCCAGGCUUGUUUGUUUCAGUAUUUAUAUUGUCAAUCUGUUGUUCAAACACGGCCAGAUAAGUGAGCCGGUGUCAUGGUUUUAGGCCCACAAGUCCAUGGAAAUGAAACACCUUAGAGCUACUCCCUCUUUCCCUCCCUCCCUCCCUCUUUUCUCCCUGCAAUCCAGUGAAAGAAGGAAGAAAAUCAAAGUAAAACUUGCAUGUUGAACUAAGAACAAUUUAAUAAUUGAAAAUAAAGCAAAAUACAAUAAUAGACGUGAAGAAGAAGAACAGUGAAAAGAGAAAAAACCAAAUAAUGCACAAUGCAAUUGCUCACUGCCCACUGACAGAUGCCAGACGCCCCUCCUGGACCCAGACAGGACGAGUUUCUGGGUGACUCCCCCCAGUUUAUGUACUGGGCAGGACAUUCUGUGGUGUGGAAUAUCCCUUUGGCCAGUCCAGGUCACCUGUCCAGCUAUGCUCCCUCCCAGCUUGUUGGGUUUCUUGCUUACUUGCUCACUGGCAGAGCACAAGACAAGGGAAAAAGAGAGCCCUUGAUGAUGGAUAAACACUAUUUAGCAAAACCCAAACCAUCAGUGUGUUAUCAACACCCUUCUUAUUCUAAAUCCAAAACACAGCCCUGUAACAACUACUGAGAAUAAAUAAAUUCUACCCCAGCUGUAACCAGGACAGCUCCUUGUGUUUGUGUAUGUUCUCAGAUUUAAAUAUUCUCAAUUACCACUCUUGUUUCCAAGGUCUUGCACUAUUUUGUGAGGCCAUUUCAUACUCAGAAUGGUUCAGCUAGAAUCCAGCGUGGGCUCACAGGUCUCUAGCUCAGAGGAGAGGAUUUCUGCUCCUAGUGAUAGAACUGCUGGGAAGUUACGAAAGUCUGUGAAAAAUCUAACUGUUGCAAUCCUUUCAAGGAGGGAGCUGGUGUCCUUGAAUCGUAUACUGAGUAGAUUCUGUGAAAUUAUUUGGUGAUCUCAGUGCUGAGCUCUAAUGUAAGGGUCUAAGUGCCAGUGUUGCAGAAGUACAGCAGUUCCUGGCAGCAGAGGAAUGACUCUUUGGACAACACUGCCACUGUCCUUCCAUUUCCGACCGUGAUGAGGUCUGAGGAGUCAGAGUACAAUGAUUUAAUUUAUGGUAUUGCUGUUAUGGAGCUAUUUUCAUUUUGAAGUUAACAAAAUGGCACCAUUACAGUCACAGAAGAAAAAGGGGAGACUUGCUCUGGAGUUCUCUUUUUCCUCCUCCCCCUCUUACCUCAAAUUUUAUGUGUAUUUUUCCAGAAAUAGUGCUUUUGUUUGUGCAGUCUCACAGUGGAAUAAGGAACAUCAGCAUUUUAUUAGUGUUUUCCCAACCUUGAGGCAGCAAAAUUUAUGCAGUUCUGUUGCAGUUCAUGUUUUAUGUUCCCUGGAGUCCUUGUUCGAUUACCAUGUUCUACAUUAUACAUGUAUGAUAUGUAUAUACAUGUGUGUAUGUAUAUUUAUACAUAGUUUUUUUCUGUUUGUUCCAUUGCACUUAACUAACUGGAGAUACAGUCAAAAUUUCCCACCAAGAGUGGAGAACCUUGGUUUUCACCCCAAGACUAGCAAAAAUACUAGUAGAAUGAGAAGCAACAGAGAAAGAAUUAGAGAAUUAAAGAAAAUUCUUAACAGAAAGUAAUUUCUGAAGGCCCGGAUUUUCUUGAGCAGCUUUUAGCAUAGAAUGUUUUAGCCUGAUUUGGUAACAGUUCAUAUAAAAGUCAUUCCUGCAGUUAUCCUGGGAGAAGUGAAAAGGCAGCAGACUGGUGAAGAUGUUCCAAGCUAAUGACCACAAAUCAGCUGUGCCAAUACAUUGAAUAAAGACUAACAAAAACAAAGGGUAGGGUUGAUGAAAGCCAGCUCUCAGCUAUUCGUUUCAACUGUGUAAAAUGGCUGCCUGAGUUUUUCUCUUAGCUGAUGAAAAUGUUAGGAAGUUUUAUUUUGUAUUCCUGUGUAUUCUAACCCAUUCUGGCUAUAUUAUUUUCAUGCGUUCACUUGUCCAGUUCUUUCUUCUAACCUGGAGUAUUCCUUUGUCGCCCUGAUUUUGUAAAACUUUGUAAGCCUUCUGAUGUUUAUAUUCUCUCAACAAACUUUCUCACACACAAUUCUGUAAAUAACCUAUGUUUUGCAUUCUUUCAUGGAGGUGGAGAGAAUUGAUGGGCCCUUGGUCUGUCCAGUGGCAUUGGAGAGGUGGCACUGUCACCCUCCAAUCCACUGUCACCUUUGGAAAACUAUAAAUGUUGGAGUCAGAAAAUAAAGGUGCUCUUUUUUGUUCCCCUCGA